rnacentral:sRNA from 1 species
GUUUCAAUUCCUCAUAGGCAGGCUAUCGGCCGUUCGUCCAAAUGCCCUCCCAGUCCUCAGGAUGCUG